rnacentral:misc_RNA from 1 species
GCACUGGAUCAAAUGUACAGAUAUGAUUGAUUUUUAAUAGUCAUAAUCAAACAUCACAUGACACUGGAAAGGCAGAAAUAGAUGUAAGGUCUGAAACAGUAGAUAAAAGAGUUUCAUCAUAUACAUUGAUUAUACGCUACAAGCGGUGGCUGAUGAAACCAAUCUUCAAAGCGCAGCUACAGCGUCAGACACAAAAAACCCAAUGCUGAAAUCAAAG